UUACACAUUUCUGCGAUCAGAAAUAAAUAUAAAACAUCGAUUUGAAAUGACCCUCUCAUUCACCAUCUCUCUUUUUUUUUCUGGAAACCCGAUUCUAAUUUUAGACUGCAUAUUCUGAGAAUCAGGUAACGUGAGGUUAAGCUACGUCAUUAAGGAGGUGAAUGAUUUUUAACGGUCGAAAGUAUUUUUGAGGAAUAAAAUCGUUUUCUUAUGUUUGCAGAUGGAAGGAGACGAAAAUAUCUUUAUGUGAAGAUACAUCUCGGACUAUCUGCUGUUCAAAACCACCAAGGAUGGAGUCGGAUUAAAUCUGCAUGCCAAGACCACAGUUAUGUGAUUAGUACAAGCCCAUCUGUUCAAGUUUUGCUAACAUACAGCAGUGAUGUUUGGCAGACUUUCCACAGUAGUGGUAUGGAGGCAAAAUCAGGCAUUCGUAUCAUGAAUUACCUUGAUCAAAUAUCAAAAGUUACGCUACAUAUUUCAGAUUUUGUAUGUUUUACAGAAUAAGCAAGAGGAAAGAAACAUAUGAACACUGAUUAACUGAUGUUCUGUUUCUAUGCAUGUUUCAUCUAUCACUGUUUGUAGAUAUGUGAUCGAGCCAAGCUCUCUGAGGUGCUCAGUUGUAUAUAAUGGAAAACUUCUAAACCAGAUUGUGUCUCAUUUUAUUUGUGUGAAAAUGAAUUAGCACACAAGCACUAAUAUAAUGAUGUUUUGCUUCAUUUCUUUUCAGAUUAGUGUGAUGUGACCAGGCCAAGAUGUUAAAAUUUUGCAAGCAUACUGAUGUGAUGUGGGCCAGAUGUUUAACAGCAGAGCAAUGUGUACAUGCCAAGAUACUAUGUAUAUGCGAAGCAUAUUGAAGGAGUUGUUAUUACAAGCAAACUGAAGUGAUGUGAGUUCAACAGCAGUAAAUUUUGGAAAUUUAACAAAUACUUUGCAGAUAUCUUGAAUUUCAACAAACAUAAAGCAAUUUCACCUUAAUUAUAAUGUAAGUCUGUAGAAACUUUGCAAUGAAUUUCAGUAUGAAUUUUUUGGCUACAUAUUUCUGAUUUUGUGUGUAUGCGUUACAGAAUAAGUAAGUGUAAGGCAGAAAUUAUAAACAUAUAAACACUAAUAGACUUAUGUGAACUAUGCUUCAUUUUUUCUCAAAUCACAGUUGUGAAGUGUUGAUGUGAUUUGUACUAGCCAUAAUGUUCAAGUUUUACUGACAUACAGCAGUGAUGUGUGAUAGAUUUUCCACACCAUAUUUCUUGAGAGGAGAAAUAUCAGGUAUUCAUUUCACAGCUACUUUGCAGAUAUCUUGAAUUUCAACAAGCAUUAUGUUAUUUCAGCUUCACAUGUUUGCAUUGCAUAAAUACCCUAGAUAUGACCUUAGUGUCAUAAAUACUCUAGAUAAGGCAUUUUCUCUUCAGAAAAUUUGAAAUGCUUUUCAGUCUUAUAGUUUUUCAUUACAGGCAGCUAGAGUCGAGACAAGACGCAAAUGACUGAGUUCAAAGUGAUGUGUGCAUCUUAAAUGAACAGAGACAAAAUUGUUUUCACCGUUCAAAAUCACAGAUUCUUAUUUAGUUCAUAUGUAUAUGUAUUGUUUGUCAUUAUGAUAUCUACCCACAGAAGAGGCAUAUGCCCGUAAAAGAGUCACUAUUGCUUAUUGUGUUUCUUGUUAAUCCCCCGCCGUGGCGGAGGGAUUAUAGGAGUGGUCUGCGUCCGUCCUUCCGUCCGUCCGUCAUUCCGUCCGUCCGUAACAAAAUCGUGUCCGCUCUAUAUCUCCUAAACCCCUUUAAGGAAUUUUAUAAAACUAGGGUCAAAUGAUCACCUCAUCAAGACGAUGUGCAGAACCCAUGAGUCAGUCAUGCCGGCUCAAGGUCAAGGUCACAACUUGGGGUCAAAAGUUUGAACCUUCCAUUUUGUUUCCGCUCUAUAUCUCCUAAACCCCUUGAAGGAUUUUCAUCAAACUUGUGUCAAACGAUCACCUCAUCAAGGCAAUGUGCAGAACUUAUAAGUCAGCCAUGUCGGCUCAUGGUCAAGGUCACAACUGAAGGUCAAACGUUUGAGCCUUCCAUUUCGUGUCCGCACUAUAUCUCCUAAACCCCUUGAAGGAAUUUUAUAAAACUUGGGUCAAAUGAUUACCUCAUCAGAACGAUGUGCAGAAAUUAUGAGUCAACCAUGCCAGCUCAUGGUCAAGGUCACAACUAAGGGUCGAAGGUUUGAGCCUUCCAUUUGGUGUCCACUCUGUAUCUCCUUAAUCCCUUGAAGGAUUUUCAUCAAACUUGGGUCAAAUGAUCACCUCAUCAAGAACGCAUGAGUCAGCCAUGUCAAUUCAAGGUCAAGGUCACAACUGAAAGUCAAAGGUUUCAACUCUAUAUCUCCUAAACCCCUUGAAGGAUUUUCAUGAAACUUUGGUCAAAUGAUCACCUCAUCAAGACGUUGUGCAGAAUUCAUGAGUCAGCCAUGUCAGUUCAAGGUCAAGGUCACAGCUAAAAUCAAAGGUUUUACCCUUUCACUAUCCAUAGCAGUGGCGGGGGAUUUAGCUGUCGUUCAGACUGCCUUGUCUUUUAAGGUAUUGGAUCCGUAAAAGAGUACCUCCUUUUUGAAGAGUAUUCCAUUCCUACCAUAAACCUACUUUGACUGCAUGUUUCAUUGGGGGCAUAGGUUCAAGUUCCACUGGGACCAAAUUGUUUUUUCCAAUAUUUUCCUUUUUCCUAGUAGGUUUUGCUUCUUUCAAGACUUACUAUGGAUAUAUUGUACAAAAGUGGAAAUGCUGUGAUGAAUUAUCUGCAAACAUUUUAGAUAGUGGCCAUCACAUUGAAAUUUGUCUUUACUUGAGCUUGAGGAAAUACCAUAAUUUAUACAAAAUUUACAAAACACGGCACGGUAAAAGUUGUUUAAAAUUUGCAACACAGUACUAAACAUGGUCAGCUUUUAGAAUAUACCAAGCAAAUGCCAUUCUUAAACAUAACUAUUAGGGGUCCAAUACCUUAAUAUGAAAAGUAGUAGCAGACUGCGAGAUAACAUUUUGUGCUACUCUGUCUGUUUGAUAAGAUAUAUCAUGUCCCGUACGUCCGCAAUUGAUGCUAUGCCAGCUUGUAUUCCAAGUACCCUGUCCUUAUGAAAUAAUGAGACAAUGGUAUUCACCUAUAUGAAUAAACAAUUUCACUCAUGCGGAUUAUGUCUUUGUUUAUUUAGUGCACUCGGCAGACAAGUUUGAUCUAUCCUCUCGCAGAUUAUGAUAACAUCAAUAAGGAUCUUUUCGAUGUAAUAACAUAAUGCCCUUUAUACUGAGCAUUCUCUCGCAUUAACUCAUUCUGCCCUAAAGCGUUAUCUCCACUUCUACUCUGCUGAUAUAUAUCUGUCGGCCACCUAGGAGGGUGAUAAGCCGAUAUACCCUGAAUACCUAGAGAUGUUUUGAGAGAUAACAUUGAUUUUGUAGUUUUUUGC